UACGUAGGUGGCAAGCGUUGUCCGGAAUUACUGGGCGUAAAGCGUGCGCAGGCGGUUCUGUAAGCCAGAUGUGAAAUCCCCGGGCUUAACCUGGGAAUGGCAUUUGGGACUGCAAGGCUUGAGUGCGGCAGAGGAGACUGGAAUUCCUGGUGUAGCAGUGAAAUGCGUAGAUAUCAGGAGGAACACCGAUGGCGAAGGCAGGUCUCUGGGCUGACACUGACGCUCAUGCACGAAAGCGUGGGGAGCAAACAGG
rnacentral:rRNA from 1 species